UGUUGCUGACUACAAGAGAUGAGAGUGCGCA
rnacentral:piRNA from 1 species